AUUGAACGCUGGCGGCAGGCCUAACACAUGCAAGUCGAGCGGAUGACGGGAGCUUGCUCCUUGAUUCAGCGGCGGACGGGUGAGUAAUGCCUAGGAAUCUGCCUGGUAGUGGGGGACAACGUUCCGAAAGGGGCGCUAAUACCGCAUACGUCCUACGGGAGAAAGUGGGGGAUCUUCGGACCUCACGCUAUCAGAUGAGCCUAGGUCGGAUUAGCUAGUUGGUGAGGUAAUGGCUCACCAAGGCGACGAUCCGUAACUGGUCUGAGAGGAUGAUCAGUCACACUGGAACUGAGACACGGUCCAGACUCCUACGGGAGGCAGCAGUGGGGAAUAUUGGACAAUGGGCGAAAGCCUGAUCCAGCCAUGCCGCGUGUGUGAAGAAGGCCUUCGGAUUGUAAAGCACUUUAAGUUGGGAGGAAGGGCAGUAAGUUAAUACCUUGCUGUUUUGACGUUACCGACAGAAUAAGCACCGGCUAACUCUGUGCCAGCAGCCGCGGUAAUACAGAGGGUGCAAGCGUUAAUCGGAAUUACUGGGCGUAAAGCGCGCGUAGGUGGUUCGUUAAGUUGGAUGUGAAAGCCCCGGGCUCAACCUGGGAACUGCAUCCAAAACUGGCGAGCUAGAGUAUGGUAGAGGGUGGUGGAAUUUCCUGUGUAGCGGUGAAAUGCGUAGAUAUAGGAAGGAACACCAGUGGCGAAGGCGACCACCUGGACUGAUACUGACACUGAGGUGCGAAAGCGUGGGGAGCAAACAGG
rnacentral:rRNA from 1 species